rnacentral:rRNA from 1 species
UAGGGAAUCUUCGGCAAUGGACGAAAGUCUGACCGAGCAACGCCGCGCGGGUGAAGAAGGGUUUCGGAUCGUAAAACUCUGUUGUUAGAGAAGAACAAGGACGUUAGUAACUGAACGUCCCCUGACGGUAUCUAACCAGAAAGCCACGGCUAACUACGUGCCAGCAGCCGCGGUAAUACGUAGGUGGCAAGCGUUGUCCGGAUUUAUUGGGCGUAAAGCGAGCGCAGGCGGUUUCUUAAGUCUGAUGUGAAAGCCCCCGGCUCAACCGGGGAGGGUCAUUGGAAACUGGGGGACUGGAGUGCAGAAGAGGGGAGUGGAAUUCCAUGUGUAGCGGUGAAAUGCGUAGAUAUAUGAAGGAACACCAGUGGCGAGGGCGGCUCUCUGGUCUGUAACUGACGCUGAGGCUCGAAAGCGUGGGGAGCAAACAGG